GAAAUGCGAUACUUGGUGUGAAUUGCAGAAUUUCCGUGAGUCAUCGAAUCUUUGAACGCACAUUGCGACCUCUGGUAUUCCGGGGGGCAUGCCUGUCCGAGCGUCAUUGCAACCCUCAAGCCCGGCUUGUGUGUUGGGCCCUCGUCCCCCGUGGACGUGCCCGAAAUGCAGUGGCGGCGUCGUGUUCCGGUGCCCGAGCGUAUGGGGCUUUGUCACCCGCUCUUGGAGGCCCGGCCGGCGCUGGCCGACCCCCUCAACCAAAUUUCUCCAGGUUGACCUCGGAUCAGGUAGGGAUACCCGCUGAACUUAA
rnacentral:misc_RNA from 1 species